GAUUAAUGAAACAUUAUGGAAUGUAUUUAAUUAAAUACGCCUGUGUAUUAUUUUUAAAAACAAAUCAUUCUUUUGUGCGAAAAUAAGCUAUAAACUCGAUAAUAAUUCAGCCAAUUGAAAAUAUGGUAUGUAAAAUCAGAAAGGGACUUACAUAAUUCGCUGGUAUGGCAGCACUGUAGAGCAGUAACCUUAUCAAUGUUAAAUAUUACGUGUUCCUAACCUAGUUAUAUAGAAAAGUUGAAGUAUAAAAUUUGAGGAUGAUUGAAAAGAUUACACCCCUAACUGUUGUAAUGUCGAUUUGGUUCAGCUGGAUGUUCUAUACAACAGCUACCGAUUUUCGAAGACAUCGCUUUAGCACAAUGCCUUAUUUGUAUCCCCCUGAUAACAUUUAUGUUCGUCAAAUAGAACUGGAUAAGUUGGGUAAAGUGUACAAAUACAAAGAACAUCUAACCAAGAGCAUGUACGAAUAAGGCACUGAAGCAUAAAAAUUCUUUAUAUCCUUAAUAAAUAAAUUUAAUAGUAUAUAUGUAUAUAUCAAAAAUUAUAGCUGUUGUAGUUAUAAUAACAUUCAAUAAACCACAAUACAAAAAAUA